AAACCAUCUAUACUGAAGGUCCACAAAAGAAGUGAAGAUGUCAGCCAGAAAUCGUUCUCUCUCAGCCAUAUGUGCCAAGUCUACUCUACACUUUCCAUCUUUGGAGACGUAACGGCAUUGUUCGCGAACCUCUGGUGUGCAGAGAGCACUGCGGGAUGGGGUGCUGCACAGAGGACUUGUGCAUGGACUUGUCAUGUUGGGAACGCUGAGAGCAUGGCGGCAACAUGGAUGAACAUUCGGCUCACGUAAAGAGCAACGCCUCAUCAGCGCCAGCUCAGCCUCGAAGACCAGUCAUACUGGUUUGGAACGACAUGAGGGUAAAUGAUGACAGAAUUGCUUCCGAAGAAUAAGUAAAGGAUGUUUCGAUAUGAGGGUGUGUUGAUAAAAUCUACCCACUGUA